UGACCCAGUGACAGUGAAGAAAUGGCAAUAUAUUUCCAUGUCACGAUAGUGUGUGGCUUGCUCUGCAGUUACUGAAGCUCCCUUUCAUCUUCUGCCCUUGUCCUCCUUGAUGAUUGAGCUUAUGUACUGCCGAAGGAACUGUGAGUCACUGUCAGGAUCCAGACCAACAGUACAAACCAGUCCAGGAAUUUUCAGUCGCAAAUGAGGAAUUCACAGUUGAUACGGCUCCGACCCACUCAGCAAACUGUCGUAAACGCAAAACCUAGUUUAUGCUCAGUGUCACAGAG